rnacentral:lncRNA from 1 species
GAUUGGUAGGUAAUAUUAAUUAUUUGGAAAACAACAGGUCAUUCGUAUUGUUAUCUUAGAAAGUCUUACUAAUUAAAAUACUACAAUAGGGAAUAUUUUGACAAUGAAUGAAUUUAGUAGUGUCAACCCUGUGAUUAUGACCCGUGUAUAUAGCAAAAUCCUAAAUACACCGUUUGGUGGUGUGCGUGUCAGAUGCGGAACGUACAGAUAAGGUAAUAGGUAACAGGUGAAUAUACUAUUGGUA